UGGGGAAUUUUGGACGAAUUGGGCGAAAGCCUGAUCCAGCAAUGCCGCGUGUGUGAAGAAGGCCUUCGGGUUGUAAAGCACUUUUGUCCGGAAAGAAAUCCUUGGCUCUAAUACAGUCGGGGGAUGACGGUACCGGAAGAAUAAGCACCGGCUAACUACGUGCCAGCAGCCGCGGUAAUACGUAGGGUGCAAGCGUUAAUCGGAAUUACUGGGCGUAAAGCGUGCGCAGGCGGUUUGCUAAGACCGAUGUGAAAUCCCCGGGCUCAACCUGGGAACUGCAUUGGUGACUGGCAGGCUAGAGUAUGGCAGAGGGGGGUAGAAUUCCACGUGUAGCAGUGAAAUGCGUAGAGAUGUGGAGGAAUACCGAUGGCGAAGGCAGCCCCCUGGGCCAAUACUGACGCUCAUGCACGAAAGCGUGGGGAGCAAAC
rnacentral:rRNA from 1 species